rnacentral:rRNA from 1 species
UACGGAGGGGGCUAGCGUUGUUCGGAAUUACUGGGCGUAAAGCGCACGUAGGCGGCUUUGUAAGUUAGAGGUGAAAGCCCGGGGCUCAACUCCGGAAAUGCCAUUGAAACUGUAAGACUUGAGGAUGAGAGAGGUGAGUGGAAUUCCCAGUGUAGAGGUGAAAUUCGUAGAUAUUGGGAAGAACACCGGUGGCGAAGGCGGCUCACUGGCUCAUAUCUGACGCUCAGGCGCGACAGCGUGGGGAUCAAACAGG